GGUAACCCCGCCCUGGGUGCUCAGCUGCGGGCGGAUCGGAGCCGGAGGCGGAUUUGGAGUCUGGUCCCGCAGUCUGUCUGGUCCCGCCGUCUGUCGGGGCCGCAGUACCUCUGUGCAGACGAAGCUCGUCCCAGCCAAGUCACGGCGCCAUGGGGGCGGAGUAGAAGCUGCUGUCGGUUAAGGAGGCCUUUCAGCUGGCGCAGCAGCCGCACCAGAACCAGGCGAAGUUCGAGGUGGCGCUGAGCCGCACCUACUGCAAGAAGGCAGUUAGAACAUACAGAGAACUCAUGGAGAGAGGAAAGGCCGUGUGAGGACACUGGAAGAAGACACGUACAAGCCAAGAAAAGGGCCCUCAGGAGAACCCGGACCUGCUGACAGUUUGAUCCUCAGAAGUCCAGCCUCCAAAACCAAGAAAAGAAAUUUCUGUUGUUUAAGCCAUCUCGUCUGUAGUACUUUUGUUAUGGCAAUUCUGGCAAACAAAUACAGGUAGAAUUGCUAGAUGGGAGUAUGUCGGUGUGCAGCUUAACUAGUGGUACUCACGUGUUUUUCUGAAGUAAUUGGACCAAUUUGCAAUCCUGUCAGAAUUCUGUUUUUCUUUUUAAGUUUGUUUAUUUUGAGAGAGAGAGAGAGACCACAAGUUGGGGAAAGGCAGAUAGGGAGAGAGAGAGAGAGAGAGAGAGAGAGAGAGAGAGAAUCCCAAGAAGGCUCUGCACUGUCAGCACAGAGCCCAAUGAGGGGCUCAAACUCAAGAACCGUGAGAUCAUGACCUGAGCCGAAAUCGAGUUGGACCCUUAACCGACUGAGCCACUCAGGUGUCCCUCCUCAUUUCUUUUUGUACUAGUAUGUUUUGUUUCCCAUUUUAGUUUCUUUGUCCUAUAAAUAUUAGGUGUAGUUAAUACUAAUUUGAAGAAAAUGAGUUAUGUAACAAAAUAUAAGAAAACUAGAAGGAAGUCACAUUCUUCUACAGCUUAUAUAACUGAACAGAUGCUUUGAAAUCAGUGAUGUGAAAAAAUCUUCUAUAAGCCUGGUUACACUUCACUGAACUAUCUUAGAGUUGCGUCAUCUGUCUGAUAUGUAAAAGUAGCCUGCAGUGGCAGACUCACUGUUUUCUUUUUUAGUAACUCCCAGUUGAACUGAUGGGAAUUUGCAAAAACAAUGGUUGUAGGUAUAUGACAAAUUAAUUCAUCGUUAAGCGCCAUUACCUUGAUUAUUUCCUAACACAAUAGAAAUAUGUAAGCUGAUAGGGAGAACAGAAGGUUAUAUCACUGAAAAGUUUCAUGCAAUGAUCCCUUUGUAAGAAAAAAAAUAUCCCAUGCAAUUUCACUAAUGUGUAAAUACAACAGAGAGAUAAUCCCAAAUAAACACAAUGCAAAUAAAAA